rnacentral:rRNA from 1 species
AUUGAACGCUGGCGGCAGGCCUAACACAUGCAAGUCGAACGAGUGGCGGACGGGUGAGUAAUGUCUGGGAAACUGCCUGAUGGAGGGGGAUAACUACUGGAAACGGUAGCUAAUACCGCAUACCAUCGGAUGUGCCCAGAUGGGAUUAGCUAGUAUGUGGGGUAAUGGCUCACCUAGGCGACGAUCCCUAGCUGGUCUGAGAGGAUGACCAGCCACACGGGAACUGAGACACGGUCCAGACUACUCCGGGAGGCAGCAGUGGGGAAUAUUGCACACUGGGCGCAAGCCUGAGGCAGCCAUGCCGCGUGUAUGAAGAAGGCCUUCGGGUUGUAAAGUACUUUCGUCGGGGAGGCGUUACCCGCAGAAGAAGCACCGGCUAACUCCGUGCCAGCAGCCGCGGUAAUUC